rnacentral:rRNA from 1 species
GAUGAACGCUGGCGGCGUGCUUAACACAUGCAAGUCGAACGGAAAGGCCCAAGCUUGCUUGGGUACUCGAGUGGCGAACGGGUGAGUAACACGUGGGUGAUCUGCCCUGCACUUCGGGAUAAGCCUGGGAAACUGGGUCUAAUACCGGAUAGGACGAUGGUUUGGAUGCCAUUGUGGAAAGUUUUUUCGGUGUGGGAUGAGCUCGCGGCCUAUCAGCUUGUUGGUGGGGUAAUGGCCUACCAAGGCGUCGACGGGUAGCCGGCCUGAGAGGGUGUACGGCCACAAUGGGACUGAGAGACGAGCCAGACUCCUACGGGAGGCAGCAGUGGGGAAUAUUGCACAAUGGGCGCAAGCCUGAUGCAGCGACGCCGCGUGGGGGAUGACGGCGUUCGGGUUGUAAACUCCUUUCGCUAGGGACGAAGCGUUUUUGUGACGGUACCUGGAGAAGAAGCACCGGCUAACUACGUG